rnacentral:rRNA from 1 species
GUCUACGGCCACGCCACCCUGAACACGCCCGAUGUCUGAUCUCGAAAGCUAAGCAGGGUCGGGCCUGGUUAGCGACCGCCUAGGAAGACCAGGGUGAGAGACCGCCUAGGAAGACCAGGGUGUUAUAAAUA